UACGGGGGGGGGCAAGCGUUGUUCGGAAUUACUGGGCGUAAAGGGCGCGUAGGCGGUUGGAUAAGUCAGCUGUGAAAACCACGGGCUUAACUCGUGGCCUGCAGUUGAGACUGUCUGGCUUGAGUGUGGGAGAGGAGAGUGGAAUUCCUGGUGUAGCGGUGAAAUGCGCAGAUAUCAGGAAGAAUAUCCGUGGCGAAGGCGGCUCUCUGGUACGGCACUGACGCUGAGACGCGAAAGUGUGGGGAUCAAACAGG
rnacentral:rRNA from 1 species